rnacentral:lncRNA from 1 species
UACUUGGGCAAGUGGUAAUAGGGCCAAGGUCACAAAUCUGAUUCCUUCGUGGUCCUGUUCACAUCCAUCUAACCUGCGGUCACAGAUGGUACCCCUAACCUGGGCCAGUAUUUCUCAAGUGUAGACCCCUGGAUGGCAAUGAAAGUGGCUUAAUAUGAUCCUCUAUUUAAAAAGAAAUAAAUGAUAAACUAUGAAACUAGAGAUCAGUUGUCAAAAGUUACAACUUUAUAUAAAGAUAGUUUUCUAUUUGCAAUAGAGACCUGGCAUCUCACUGAAUCUUAAUCCCUGGGAUUAGGAAAGGCCAAGAUCCCCAAUUUACUGCUUUUUCCUUAAAAAUAUACUGAGAAAUUGUAGAGAUGUUCUAACACAGGUGAGGUGUCAAGUUUUGUUUAAUUGUUCUGAGCUUGUUGAGGUCCUGGCAUACCACCUCCUGACAUCCCUGAGACAGCAGUGAAGCAUCUGUUGUGCAGUAACUCGGCACAGAUCCGGUCUUGGGCCAGGUGUACAGCAGAAAUGAACGGCUCCAGAGAAAACCAUACAAGGUGGCCUCCUGCAACCAUGGUUGAAGACUGUGGGGAUUACGAAUUGUCCAAAACAGGCUCAAGGCCAAUGAGGAAGUUCCCUGACCAGGAAUUGAACCCAGGCCCGUGGCAGUGA